rnacentral:tRNA from 1 species
AUAUAUAAAGUAAAUUUUACAUUUAAUUUCGACUUAAAAAUUUGAUUAAUAUAAUCUAUAUAUU